rnacentral:rRNA from 1 species
GAUGAACGCUGGCGGCGUGCCUAAUACAUGCAAGUCGAGCGAACGGACUAUACGCUUGCUUCUCUGAUGUUAGCGGCGGACGGGUGAGUAACACGUGGAUAACCUACCUAUAUGGCUGGGAUCACUGCGUGACACCGGAACUCAUAACGGAUAAUAUUUUGAACUGAAUUGUUCAAUAGUGAAAGACGGUAUUGCUGUAACUUAUAGCUGGAACCGCGCUGCUUUAUCUAUUUGGUAGGGUAACGGCUUACGAAGGCAACGAUGCAUAGCCGACCUCAGAGGGUGACCGGCAAACCUGGAACUGAGACAGGGUCCAGCCUCCUCCGGGAGGCAGCAGUAGGGAACCUUCCGCAAUGGGCGAAAGCCUGACGGAGCAACGCGGCGUGAGUGAUGAAGGUCUUCGGAUCGUAAACCUCUGUUAUUAGGGAAGAACAUAUGUGUAAGUAACUGUGCACAUCUUGACGGUACCUAAUCAGAAAGCCACGGCUAACUACGUG